rnacentral:rRNA from 1 species
GGCUUAUUGAUAAUAAUUUUAAGUCUGACCUGCCCAAUGAUUGAGGAAUUAAAUGGCCGCGGUACUUUGACCGUGCAAAGGUAGCAUAAUCAUUAGUUUUUUAAUUGAAAGCUUGUAUGAAAGGUUUGAUGAAAGAGUAGCUGUCUCUAUUUAAAUUUAUUAGAAAUUUAUUUUUAAGUUAAAAAGCUUAAAUGAUUAUAGAAGACGAGAAGACCCUAUAGAGUUUUAUAGUUUUUUAGUAUUAUUGAUUUUUAGAAUUGUAAGGUUUAUAUUUAAGAACUAUUUAGUUGGGGUGAUUGAAAAAUUUAAUGAACUUUUUUUUUAUUUUUACAUUAAUUUAUGAAUUUUUGAUCCUUUAUUGAAGAUUAAAAGAUAAAAUUACCUUAGGGAUAACAGCGUAAUUUUUUUUUAGAGUUCUAAUCGAAAAAAAAGUUUGCGACCUCGAUGUUGGAUUAAAAGAAAUUACUGGUGUAGGGGCUAGUAAAUUAGGUCUGUUCGACCUUUAAAAUUUUACAUGAUCUGAGUUUAAACCGGCGUGAG